AUUGAACGCUGGCGGCAUGCUUUACACAUGCAAGUCGAACGGCAGCGCGGGCUUCGGCCUGGCGGCGCGUGGCGAACGGGUGAGUAAUGCAUCGGAACGUGCCCAGUAGUGGGGGAUAGCCCGGCGAAAGCCGGAUUAAUACCGCAUACGACCUGAGGGUGAAAGCGGGGGACCGAAAGGCCUCGCGCUAUUUGAGCGGCCGAUGUCGGAUUAGCUAGUUGGUGGGGUAAAGGCUUACCAAGGCGACGAUCCGUAGCUGGUCUGAGAGGACGACCAGCCACACUGGGACUGAGACACGGCCCAGACUCCUACGGGAGGCAGCAGUGGGGAAUUUUGGACAAUGGGGGCAACCCUGAUCCAGCCAUGCCGCGUGCGGGAAGAAGGCCUUCGGGUUGUAAACCGCUUUUGUUCGGGAAGAAAUCCUCUGGGCUAAUACCCCGGGGGGAUGACGGUACCGGAAGAAUAAGCACCGGCUAACUACGUG
rnacentral:rRNA from 1 species